rnacentral:rRNA from 1 species
GCACAAGCGGUGGAGCAUGUGUUAAUUCGAAGCAACGCGAAGAACCUUACCAGGUCUUGACAUCCCGAUGCUAUUUCUAGAGAUAGAAAGUUACUUCGGUACAUCGGUGACAGGUGGUGCAUGGUUGUCGUCAGCUCGUGUCGUGAGAUGUUGGGUUAAGUCCCGCAACGAGCGCAACCCCUAUUGUUAGUUGCCAUCAUUCAGUUGGGCACUCUAGCGAGACUGCCGGUAAUAAACCGGAGGAAGGUGGGGAUGACGUCAAAUCAUCAUGCCCCUUAUGACCUGGGCUACACACGUGCUACAAUGGUUGGUACAACGAGUUGCGAGUCGGUGACGGCGAGCUAAUCUCUUAAAGCCAAUCUCAGUUCGGAUUGUAGGCUGCAACUCGCCUACAUGAAGUCGGAAUCGCUAGUAAUCGCAGAUCAGAAUGCUGCGGUGAAUACGUUCCCGGGCCUU